rnacentral:rRNA from 1 species
CCCUAUGGGGUGCCACCAGCAGUAGACCUCGUCGCCCCAGGUGAUCGCCGCCUGAUCGAGCAGGAACCGGCUGUGGGGCUUGAGGGCCGCGAGACGGUGCGCGCCGGCGACGACCCAAUACUUCGUGUAGGUGCCCUGAUAGACGAUGUCGGUGACCUUGCAGCGGAACACGUUGAUCCGCGACCCUUUCUCCGGCGGCGGCGGGGCUGGGGUCACGCGGAUCUUUUCGGGGCGGACGCUGAGGUGAACCGGGCUUCCCGCGCUGAUAUUCUUGUCGUUGAAGCACAGGAUGUCGGGGAAGCCCUUGACCGCGAGCUUGCAGUAAUCGCCGUCGACCUCGGUGACGGUGCCCUCGAAGAAGUUGGUGUCGCCGAUGAAAGCCGCGACGAAGCCCGAGCGCGGGGCCUCAUAGAUCUUGGCGGGGGGGC